rnacentral:misc_RNA from 1 species
CAACCCAUCAAGCUUCGGCUUGGUCUUGGGGCCUGCGGUUUCGCAGCCUCUAAACCCAGUGGCGGUGCCAUUGAGCUCUGAGCGUAGUAAUUAUCCUCGCUAUAGAGUCUCGGUGGUGUCUUGCCAGCAACCCCCAAUAUUUUUACA